rnacentral:piRNA from 1 species
GUGUGACAAACACAUUAACAGGUGGCAU